rnacentral:rRNA from 1 species
GACGGAGGAUGCAAGCGUUAUCCGGAAUGAUUGGGCGUAAAGCGUUCGCAGGUGGCUGUUCAAGUCUGCUGUCAAAGACCGGGGCUUAACCCUAGAAAGGCAGUGGAAACUGGACGGCUGGAGUGCAGUAUGGGUAGAGGGAAUUCCCAGAGUAGCGGUGAAAUGCGUAGAGAUUGGGAAGAACACCGGUGGCGAUAGCGCUCUGCUGGACUGCAACUGACACUGCGGGACGAAAGCUAGGGGAGCGCAAGGG